AAGCAGGUUUCCUCAACUGACAUACCCGUGCAACUUGAAGUUUCGCCUGGUCUUUCCAGGUCUAGAGAGACGACACUUUGUACUGAACCCAACUCCACGAUUGGUCUACUGGCGGGUGCUAGUAAUGGCUUUGUUGCUUCGUAGCGGAGCAUGCAAGCCGCGGGAACUCCCCCUUGGUGACAAGGACCCGCGGGGCCAAAAGCCACGUUCUCUGAACCUUGCAUGUGUGCAACCCCAGCACGGUGACACUGUUGUGAAACACACUUUAAGGUAACACUGAGACUGGUACUUGGUUUCUGGAGACAGGCUAAGGAUGCCCUUCAGGUACCCCGAGGUAACAAGAGACACUCGGGAUCUGAGAAGGGGACUGGGGCUUCUUUAAAAGCGCCCAGUUUAAAAAGCUUCUAUGCCUGAAUAGGUGACCGGAGGCCGGCACCUUUUCCUUUAUACAAAACCAUUU
rnacentral:other from 22 species